AGUAGCAUUUUCCUCGUCCUCCUGGGCUGGUAGCAGGACCUUUCCCCUGCGCCACUUGCUCCUGGCAGUCCUGCCCCCGGGUGCCAGAGUGGCCAAGGCCCAGGCCAGGACCUGGGCACUGAUGGACACCAGAGCCCGGGAGGCCCAAGGGCUUGUUGGGCAGAGGCUGGCACCGGGGAGCAGCCUACUGGCCAGCGGGAGCCCUCUUCUCUGGCCAGGGCAGGCACAUCAUUUUCACUUCCUGGCUUUCGCGAAGGCGUCUCUGUCCUCCGGCACCUGGAACAUGGCCAUUCCAGAGCGCUGUCCAGGAAAGUGGGAGCCUGUCAUGGACAUCAGAAGACCUUCCAGGACCUCAUUCCCAGGCCUAAGCUCUCUUGAUGACUUCACUCAGUAGAGGACCAUGUCGACCCCAGGCCCUGCUCUGACUUGUAUCGACUGGUCGCUGUCAGAGGCCUGAGCCCUCUGCUGUAUGAGUUGUACUCCCUUACGAGCCAGCUAGUCUGCGAGGGCCCUUCUGCCAGCCACAGCCCCCAGGUCUCAGUUUACCUGUCUGUGAAGUGUGACUGCUCUCCAUACAAGUUUUUGCCCUGUACAGGUCAGGAGGCAGCAGACAGCACAAGGUGGGAUCUGUGGCCCCAAGAGCUGGUCUCCUUGCCUCUGGGUCACAGUUUGAUUCUGAGUAAAAUUUGGUCAAGACAGAGCACAGGGGUGGAGAGGGGAUGUAAAGGAAUCCCACAACCCCCUGGAGCUGGAGUCAUCCCUCUGUGGGGUCUGUGGCUGGUCAUUAAAUAUCCACUGACAAUUGCCCUCUACCUGUAGAGGUUUGAAACCAACCAUGAGGAGCAGAGGGCAGUGGGACCUUUAACCAGAGACCAGAGUAGGGGAUGGGAGUAGGUGAUGUUGCUUGUUUGGGAAGCAGCUAGGGCAGGGUGAGCAGGCAUCUAGGGCCAUCCUAGCCAGAGCCACAGAAGGUGGGGAGGGGACACAGCUGCAUAUACCUGGAGUAGGUCCCUCUUGUGGCAACUGCUCUGUCUCCUAACAUGACUCCUGCCCUCGGCCAGUUGGCAUCAGAUAGGAAGGAGUUGCCUGGCCCACCAGUCCCUGGAGCACAGGCUAGCAUUUGGACCCCCUGGCUUGAGGCCACCCUGACCUGGGCAGGCGAGGACACGUCCCACAGGGAGGCUAGGGCAGAGAAUUGUAACCCAGAGGACAUCAGGCGUGGGAAGCCCCGUGGCCUCUGGGACCCUCACUGUGCUCCUUGACAGCUGCACCAACCCCCUUGAAGGGGAGUGUCACAGCAUCUGGAAGCCCUGAGUGCCAGGACAUUUAGAUCCUGGGCAGGAAGAAGGCUCUAGAAAUUACUUGCUUGGUCCUCUGUGUCUGGUCAGACCAUCUCAGGCCACAGUACAGGGCAGAGCCCUGUUUCUAGUUAGGAUGCUUCUCCUUCCCCUGCCAAGCCUCUAGUGGUCCCCACCCUCUGACUUCCGCUGCCUUUGUCUUUCAAGGGCUCCACAAAAUGGCCGACACAGCCUUCCGCCAUCUUGUAGCUCAGGCAAGUAGGAGGGAGGAAAGGAGACCCCUGCUUACUGCUUGCCCUGAGUGGCCUGGACAGAGCCCAGCACCAGCCCCCACCCUGUUCGGCCUUGGCUAUGGUUACCCUGGGCUUGGCACAGCCAGCUGCUUGGCAAGGCAGCCUGGGAGUCCUGGCCCCUCACCCAGCCCUUGAGUGUCCCUCACCAUCCCCUAAGGCUUCACCACUAAGCAGGCGGAGAAAAAGACUGCACACCAGAAUCUAAAAGGGCAGCCACCAAAGCUGUGCUCCCACAGGGAGUCCUUGGCAGGCCAGCAUGGAUGGUUCUAGAAAUGGUGUAUCUUGUGUGGAGCUGGGUUCCUGAGACACCAUUAGCAAAGGUGGAUUUGGAAUCAGCCCCACUAGAGAGGAAAACAGUACCUUCUGGCCUCCACAUGCCUCUCAAACUCUUGACCUGCCCAAUGAUCUUUGGGCUCCCUGGCUAGGGGUGAGACAGGAUGCCAGGCUCUUAGUAGCCUGUCAGGCCCAUGGCCUGGGCAGCCUAUGACCAUCUUCAGGUAGCAGGCCAGGUGCUUGCUGGAGAAGGCUCUGUUCCAAGAGCUAGGCCACCCACCAGGCCACUGAGGUUCACAAAGCUGGGGGUGAGCUGUUCUUCCCACCCCAACACAGCCCCCUUCCCAUGUAGUACCUGGUCCAGCAACUCAGCUCAGUGGGGAUCCCCUGUGGGCUUCCUUGGAACUUUCUGUGCUUGUUAACAAGCUCAUGCUGUUCCUCUGCCUUUCCAGAGCCCACCAGAUCAGAAGCAGCUCAUUCCAGAGUAGGCGUGAUGAUGGAAGCCAGGCCCACAAAACCCCCAGCAGCCCUGGGUCAUGGCCACGCAGACAGUACACACUGGCUUCCUAAGGUAGGACAAGCAGGGUGGCCUCUGGGAGCCAGGAGUAGCCAGGCAUCCCUGCCACCCCCAUGACAAGAUCCUUGAAAGAAGCUAGGAGCCAGUUCCGUGUGAAGUGGGGAAAGGGGCCCUCGGAAGGCUGGUGCCACCUCUGGGCAGCGUGGGGGUUGCUGAGUGACCCUGCCGGGCCCCGUGCUCUCUGUGAGGGCAGCAAGGGGCUGUGUGUAGACAGCAAGGCCAGGCUUUCUCACUAGAAAGUUUGAUCUUCUUUCCCGUGUUUCCCAGGCAGAACAUUCUAUCACCCUGAUGUGAGGCUUGCCCAGGCCAUGUCCUCCAUCCAGAGAGACCCAAGAGAAUGUACUCAGACUGCCGACCAGAACAGUGCCAGGUCAAGCCCAGAACUUCCUAUGUGCCAGGUCAAGCCCAGAACUUCCUGGGAGCUGUGGAGAAAAGUUCUCCAAGGAAAGGCCAGGGCUGGGAGGGAGCUGAUGAACGCAUACUGCAGAGCAGGCAGGGUCUACACUGGGUCAUCUCCAUGGUGUUACGUCUGUAGCCACCUCCUACCCACCUGCCUAUGACCAAGACUGGGGCUUGAGUUGAGAAUAUCUAGGGAUGAGCACACACCUUGCAGGGUAAAGCUGUUAACCUGACGUAUAAAGGUCCAGCCCCAGCCUGAGUGUUGCUGAGAGGAGGGCCCUGAACACUGGCCGUUCCCUGCUGCGCACCAGCCCAUUCGUGUCUCACCCUGGCUAAGAGUAAGCAGCUUCUCCAUGCCUCCUGCUACUGAAAGUACCAGCUGGCAGUCUCACCAGGUCUCCAGAGGAGGCCUAGGGGCCGUCCCUCAUACCCUGUUGCCGUGUGGAAAGAGUUGGGCUUAGAUCCUGGCCUCCCCAGCCAGCUCCAGGCUCUGAAUACUCAGAUAUCUUUCUCUUACGGGAUUUGCUGUGGGCCACAGUGCUCAUCACCUGUCUGUUUUCGGGGUGGCAAUGCCCCCACUGCAUUUUAGUCCUUAGGUCUGGCCCAAGGUCCAACAUAGGGGCUCCAUCUUGGGCCCUACCAGCAUGAGAUUUGAAGAGCCAGAGGCAGCCGGGUCCAAGGCAUUUAGGUACCAACUCCAGUUUUAACCCUGCGCUUCUGGGGGGCCCCUAGGAUCCUCUCUAUAGACUUGCCAAAGCAGCCUAGUGUGAGGUUAGGGGAGAGUCAGCAAGCCUGGGUCAUCUUCAUUCAAAUGUGAUGUCUUGUCCAGGAACCUUUUUGUAUUAAUAAUUUCUCCAGAUUUCACACAAAAGUGUUACUUGUCUCAGUGACCGAGAUUCUUGGUGACUCUCGGUCUUUAACAUGCUUGUCCUUGCCAGACCCAAGAUGGCACUUUGUGAGUGUGGCCUGUCUCUGGGCACACAGACCCAGGCCCGGUCAGUGAACAUGCAUCUUGUUAACUUUAUGGACCGUGUUUGCAGGGAGACCCGCCUUCUGCCCAGCCUGAUGCCACCCCUCUCAUCGUUCCCAGACUCGCUGUUGGCACGGCCUGCUGAGCAGAGACACCGGCUGCUUUAUGGGAGAAACCUAAUCAGGGAGGCUAAGGGAGGGGGACUGUCAAAGGGCGGGGGUCUGGCUCUUGGUGGCCCCAAGCCAAGUCUGAGGUGACUUCAGGGUGACACUGUCUGUCUGCCUCACUCUCUCCAGACAUCCGCCCAGCCUGAAAGGGCCACCUGCCUGCUAAGGCCUUCUAUGCACCUGUCCUGGCCAGUCUGGCUCCUCCCCCCAGGCACCCUGCCCAUGGACAGACACUGAAGGGCCAGGGCCGGGCCGGGAGGUGGCAGCUGGCAGAUGGCAGGGCGCCUGCUGACUGCUCAGUCCCUGGCAGCCUGUUCAGGACACCAUUCACGUUACAUUGCCUGCUCCUGCUGACAACCCUUCUCCAGCCUGGCCCCAUAGGGUCCACUUGAUCUGUCGCAGGACCUCUUCCUCGUCACUCCUUGAGAAAGUUAUCUCUGGUACUCCCCCAGCCCCACACCGAGGCCUGAGGGCAGUGUUCAGACCCAGGCUGUUGGGCAGGUGGUCCCGGCACAUCUCAACACCCCCAGUUCUAGAACUGUGCCUUUUUCCUAACUCACUCAAAAGGGAACCAGAAAUGAUACUAUCCCCACCCCCCAAAUGGGCUGUUGGCUAAAGUCCCAUGGAGCCUGCGUGAGCCCCCUGGGUGGGGCAGAACUGAGCUUAGGAACCUGAGGAGGUCAUGGUAUCCGUGCCUGGCUGCCAGAGCAUGGAGAGGUGGUGAAAGGAAUGUGUCCGAGGAAGGCACCUGUAGGUCAGUCUCACCAGGCUCAGAGCCCUGGGCAGAGCCAGGCCCCCUGGGGUGCAGGGGCCUCUUGAAAAGGAGCAGGAAAAACAGGCCAGCAGCUCUUGGCAGAGGGACAGGCCAGGGCAAAGGCCAGGAGGUGGGAAGGUCCUGGGCGAUGGCUAAGUGCAGAAUAGGCCUGCCCAGGGCAUUUUGGUGCUCUGGGGCACUUCAUCAGGGGGUUUGGCUGACAGGGGCAUAGUGGGACAGAUCAGAGAAAGAGUGGCAUUGUGAUGGACAGCUUAGCUGGCUGUCAGGGAGGGGCCUUCCCACCCUGUGUCCUCAUUACCCUCAGUAGCCACAUGGAUUCAACUUCCCAGCCUUAGAAUGGGUGGCAGCCGUAAGGCUCACAUGUCAGGCAGAGGAGGGCAGAUCCUAAGGGGGGCUUGUUUCUGUGUACCCCAGGUGCAGCUCCAGAGCCCUUCAGCUGGCUGGGCUGCGCCCUCACCACCACCCAUGUCUCUGCUUGGCUUUCUGUCCUUUUGCUGCUGGCUCUGCCAGGAUGCUUUGGCCAGAAUGGACCUCGUGGAGGUAGGGUGAUGACUUGAUUCAUAGAAGUGAGCCCAUGCUUCCUCUAAGCCCCUCCCCUGGUAUGUUCUUUGAGGGCUCAGGCCCUGCUUGCCUUGUGUCCUGGGGAAGCUGCAUCCCACUGCUGCCUCUGCGAGGGGAUUAAACGCUCCCUCCAGGGUCCAGUUGUCUACCACAGGCCAACAUUCAUGGGGCCAGUAUGAGACUGUCCCCUCCCUGUGGUUCCUUCCACCCUCUGGGCCACUGGCCACCCAUAUAGUCAGGCCACUGGCCACCCAUAUAGACACACCCAGCCACCCUGGAUGAAGUCUGAGUCAUAGUCUCUGACACAGCAUGUCUAUCACAGGGCUAGUCAUAGAGGCCACUCUGUCCAGGGCUUUGCAUGGAGAAUGUCACUAUGCAGCAGACAGACUGGAUAGAAAUGUCACUGUGCUGUGGGAUGGCAGGAUGGGGCCAAGCUGUAUCCCUUGUGAAACUGAUGCUUGUUGCUUUUGUUUCUAAGCCCAAGCAGGUCAGGAAGAGGUCCCAAGCAGGAGCUCCUGUCUGCAGCUAGCCUCCCUGUGGUGAGUGGGGCCUCCACUGUCCUUGCUCUGGAAAGUAGAGAGCCGUGGGAGACUUCAGAGAGAGGAAGGCUAGGGUCAGACCUGCCCUCAGCUCAGUUGCUUUUACCUGGAGGUCGUGUACUCCCCCAGGCUGUGCCUCCCCCUAGCAGACUGCUCCAGCUGACCCACCUCAUCUAUCCAUGAUGCACAAUGAUGUGAUGACCUUGGACCCCAUUGAGCUCCCUGGUCCUUCCACAUCAGACUGUAUGUGGUUUAAUGGAGCCACAGCUCCGUUCAUCACAGGCUCUUAAGAAGAAGAGUGCUCAGCCCUGUGUCCUCCCUACCCUGAAGACACUGUCCAAGGCAGGCUCACACCCCUCAGGCUCACCCACACUUGAGAGUCCUCUGAGGACCUCAGUAUGAGAUAGCUCCCUUUUCUCUGCCCUUCCAUCACUCGGCCCUCCAGUGAUCCUAACUCUUAGGCUACCUGCCAUUGAUGGAGGACAAGCCUGGGGGUACAACACAGGAGAGUCUCAUCUGGUCUGAGAAUAAAGACCACAUGAAGGAAACUGAGGUGGGGGGGAGGGGACUGAGGUCAAGACCCACCAGGAUGUCUGACUCCCACAGCUGGGGCCCUGCAUCACCAGUGCUGCUGUUAAAUACAAGCUCAGGUUGGGCACCGACAGGCUAUAGGACAGGGGCUGUUGGGCCACCGCAGUGGCACAUGCCAGCCUUCCACUGAUUACUAACUAGAGUGGCCUGGAGCUGCUGAUAGCAUGGGCUUCUCUGGUCAUGUCACCACAUCCAGAUGCAGUCUGGGACUAGGGCUGACAAGGUUACCCACAGCCAGUUAGCCUACAGGGUGGCUGGGCAGUGCUGAGGUACCCUUCCGCUUUUCCACCUGGACCACUAUGCAUAGCUGGGAGGACCGGGGGACCCUCAGCCACUCUCUCCAGCCCUCUUCCUGCUUUGCUUGCUCUGUUUGGUCCGUCCUUCGGGGAUAUGCCACUUAUGUGCCAGAAAAGGGGUCCAGGCUUGAGGCAGGGGGCAGGGCCCCAGAGGCUCAUAUUAGAUUUCCUUCUGGGGCGUUAUGGAACACCGGUUCCCACCAGAAUAGACUAGACAGUGCCUAUACAGAGUGGGCCAGGCCGUAGUAGUGCUUCAGGACCCUACUCCCAGGUCACUCUGUCCUGCAGUCUAGCUAUAGGGUACAGUGUGGGAUUAGGCCUGAUGAUCUUCCUUUUGACCCAGGGACCUUGGCAGAGACAGAUGGGGGCACCGAGUUGAGUGUCAGGCCUCAUACAGGGAGCAAUAGCUGCCUAACUUUUGGGGACUGACACAGGGUCUCCUUCCACAGUGGUGGGCAAGUCUGUCUGAGACCUAAAAGAGGCAACCCCUUCCCUUCUGCUGAGAGCAGAGCCACCUGGGGCCAGAGACUCGGCCUGCUGAGCCUGUUUCCUCACAGUGACUGGCCUUACAGGUAGAGGACUAGAUGGCCAGCCUGCCUGGUGCCUGCUUGGAAGAGGUGGUUGCCCAAAUUUUUUUUUUUUUUUUUGUCUUUUGAGACAGGAUCUUUGUAGUCUAGGCUGGCCUGGAACUUGCUAUGUAGACCAGGCUGGCCUAGAUCUCACGGAGAUCCACCUGCCUCUGCUGGAACUAAAGGCGUGUACCACCACACCCAGCUCUUGUAAGACAAAAACACUCCAACACACUGCCACCCCUCAGCUGGGAAGGGCUGCAGGCCUUGGUUUAGGCCUGUAUGAUGAGCUAAUAGUAGGCUUGUCCAGGGUUCUCCAGCAAGUGGGUGGCUAUGGGUAACCUCUCCAAGCCAACUGCUGCUCCAGGAUGGGCAGUACUCAGUGUGGUGUCACCUGCCUGUUACAUAGCAAGCAGAGAGACCCCCACCAGGCCCUCCAUCCUUAGAACAGUCUCUGCAAGCAGGAGACCCACUCCAGGCCCUCCAUCUUUAGCAUGACCUCAGCAUGUAGGGAGACCCAGGCCAGGCCCUCUGUUCUUAACUGGGCCUUCUCCCUGCCAGGGUCAGUCCAAGGCUCUGGGAUCCCUGAGUUCAAGGCCAAGCAAAGGGCCCCUACUGGCCUCAGCAAACGCUGGCUGCCAGGGACAGAUUGGCCCUGAAUAUCCAGCCAGGGUCUGCACUUCCGCCAGACUGGCCGCUGUGGGGAGCUAAGUUGCCUCCCACAAGGAAAAACUGAUUUGAGCCCUCCCACAGCAAGGUCAGCUCAGGCCGCUCCUGGGGGUAGGGACAGGACUGGCGCCUACAAGGAGGGGCCCUUCCUGCCCAAGGGAAGUAGGGUGCAUGCCCAAGGCCACUGCCCACUCAGAGUUCCAGUCCUCCAGUGCUGCUUGUGAUAAAGGCUGGAUCACACCCAGGGGGACAUUGGAAAUUCCCUUGACCUGGCUGGCCUUUGGCAGAUGGCACCUUUCCCCCAUCGUGCCUAAGGUAAGAAGAAUCCUGUGAAGACGCGGUGGCCCAGCCGUCUAGCCCCUGGCGCCUUUCUUCAUCCCUGCUACCCUUAUGCUCUGUGCUUGGUAGUCUGGCUGCAGUGUCCUGGCCCACUCUUGGGGAACCCUCGACCUCCCACCUGCUGACGUCCUCAGCACCUGGCUGGCCUCAUCAGACCCCUCACCAUGUCCCCAGCUUUUUUUUCUCCCUCUAGGAGGCACCUCAGGAAGCCACGACAACCAUCUCGACGCCAAGACUGACUGACGGCCUUUGGGGUGAGGUAGUAGGUUGUAUGGUUUCGGGCUCUGCCCCGCUCUGCGGUAACUAUACAAUCUACUGUCUUUCCUGAAGUGGCCGCGAUAUCUGCAGUGGAUGGAGUGCCAGCCCCAGCUGGGGAGACCGUGGGAGGUGCAGAGGUGGGGGAGUGGCUCCUGUACAAGUCUGAUGAGGACCUUGGGCAGGUCUCUUGACCUCUCUGGCCUCUGUUUACUCAUCCGUGCAGUGGGAACAAG